rnacentral:rRNA from 1 species
UACGUAGGGGGCAAGCGUUAUCCGGAUUUACUGGGUGUAAAGGGAGCGUAGACGGCGAUGCAAGCCAGAUGUGAAAGCCCGGGGCUCAACCCCGGGACUGCAUUUGGAACUGUGUGGCUGGAGUGUCGGAGAGGCAAGUGGAAUUCCUAGUGUAGCGGUGAGAUGCGUAGAUAUUAGGAGGAACACCAGUGGCGAAGGCGGCUUGCUGGACGAUGACUGACGUUGAGGCUCGAAAGCGUGGGGAGCAAACAGG